rnacentral:sRNA from 1 species
CUUGGUCAUUUAGAGGAAGUAAAAGUCGUAACAAGGUUUCCGUAGGUGAACCUGCGGAAGGAUCAUUACAGAGUUCAUGCCCUCACGGGUAGAUCUCCCACCCUUGAAUACCUUACCUUUGUUACUUUGGCAGGCUGCUGUUUGGCGUUGGCUUCGGCUGACUGUGCCUGCCUGAGAACCCAAACUCGUUUGUUUAGUGAUGUCUGAGUACUAUAUAAAUAGUUAAAACUUUCAACAACGGAUCUCUUGGUUCUGGCAUCGAUGAAGAACGCAGCGAAAUGCGAUAAGUAAUGUGAAUUGCAGAAUUCAGUGAAUCAUCGAAUCUUUGAACGCACAUUGCGCCCUUUGGUAUUCCGAGGGGCAUGCCUGUUCGAGCGUCAUCAUGACCACUCAGGCUUGGCUUGGUGUUGGGGUGCGCGAGCUCCGCGGCUCCUAAAAUCAGUGGUGGUGCCAUCUGGCUCUAAGCGUAGUAAUCUCUUUCGCUACAGUGUCCUGAUAGGUGUUUGCCAGUAACCCUCAUCUCACGGUUGACCUCGGAUCAGGUAGGGAUACCCGCUGAACUUAAGCAUAUCAAUAAGCGGAGGAA